rnacentral:lncRNA from 1 species
GCCUUUUUUCCUUUUUUAUUUAUAAUUUCAAAGUUUCAUUUCAAAAACAGCAACUAGAAAGUUGUUUUAUGUAAUUGCUCCUAAUUUUGAAUGAGAAAUAUCUCUUUUUUCUGAUAAGAGGUAGUUUAGUGUACUUUGCUGGGGGAGGAGAUGCGUUUGAAAGGUCAGCUCGGAGGCUUUGUGGGAGAGGGGAAUGCUUUCCUGAAACAGCAAAAGGGUCAGGCGAUGUCAGAGUAACUUCCUCAUGUAAACUUAGCCCCAAGCUAUAGAGAGAGAAAUGAGGGAAAGGAGGAGAAAAGAGCAGAGACUGCAGCUUCACUCCCAGUGGUGAGUGCAUUCAUGCUUUUCUGCUUUGGGCUCACAGCUGCCUUUUCCCCUUCUAUUUCAUCUACGAUCUAAUACUGAAUUUUCCAUCCUUCUUUACUGAGAAAGCUUGGUUGUUUUGGCUAGAAUUUUAAGGACGUAGAUGGAGUCAUGAACUUCAUGACGUUGGACUGAUA